rnacentral:pre_miRNA from 1 species
GUUUGGAAUGUGCGAGAUGUGUGCGAGAUGAUACAUCUCGCACAUUUUAAACUU